UUAGCAUAAGUUCUACAGCAAAAAUAUCCAUCAUAAAUUCCACCUCCAGAAACAAAAAUGAGAAAAUGACGGUUCAAAUUAGGUUGCUGCACAAGAUACAAUUUUCUCCAUGAUAAGAUGCUUCCAGUUAUCUAGAGUUGGCUUCAUAUGGUAUGUUAGUUUAUGACUGGCUCCUACCAUGAAAACACUGACAAAAAUUACCAAAUACCAAUGUAUCUUCCUCAAGUUCGAUUGUUUAUAGUUAGUAGAGCCGAAUCUGCUAGUUUUCAUUGAUCUGGUAAUCUAACAUAUGACUAAGAAAAAUUCCCAACUUUCGGUCAAGAUCCAUACAAUUAACAUACCAAAUGUCAAUCAUUGAAACUUUGGGUCAAAACCCAGAGUUAACAUAAUAA
rnacentral:lncRNA from 1 species